GGGGGAUCUAAAGAGCUCUCUUCAGUCCAAUCUACGAGGGGAAGAGAGUAUCUCCCUCUGCUGGUUCAUGAAUACCUUUGGGGUGCAACCCCAUGCAGUCGCAGGGUGCACCCCACUGGUGGGCAUGCAUCAGGAGACGACCUUGCUCCCCUUCUUCUCAUGCUUGGAUUGAAGGGAGCUCCUCUCUCUCUCUCU
rnacentral:pre_miRNA from 1 species